UUGCCCUAGUAACGGCGAGUGAAGCGGCAAGAGCUCAGAUUUGAAAUCUGGCGCCUUCGGCGUCCGAGUUGUAAUCUGUAGAGGAUGCUAUUGGGUAGCCACCGGUCUAAGUCCCCUGGAACGGGGCGUCGCAGAGGGUGAGAAUCCCGUAUGUGACCGGAAGGGCGCCCUCCACAUAGCUCCUUCGACGAGUCGAGUUGUUUGGGAAUGCAGCUCUAAAUGGGAGGUAAAUUCCUUCUAAAGCUAAAUACCGGCCAGAGACCGAUAGCGCACAAGUAGAGUGAUCGAAAGAUGAAAAGCACUUUGGAAAGAGAGUUAAAAAGCACGUGAAAUUGUUGAAAGGGAAGCGCUUGCAACCAGACUUGUUGGCGGUGUUCCGCCGGUCUUCUGACCGGUGUACUCACCGUCUGCAGGCCAGCAUCAUCUGGGGCCGCCGGAUAAAAGCGGGGGGAAUGUGGCUCCUCCGGGAGUGUUAUAGCCCCUCGUGCAAUACGGCGUGCCUCGGGUGAGGUCCGCGCUUCGGCUAGGAUGCUGGCGUAAUGGUCGUAAGCGGCCCGUCUUGAAACACGGACCAAGGAGUCUAACAUCUAUGCGAGUGUUCGGGUGUCAAACCCCUACGCGUAAUGAAAGUGAACGGAGGUGGGAGCCUUAGGGUGCACCAUCGACCGAUCCUGAUGUCUUCGGAUGGAUUUGAGUAAGAGCAUAGCUGUUGGGACCCGAAAGAUGGUGAACUAUGCCUGGAUAGGGUGAAGCCAGAGGAAACUCUGGUGGAGGCUCGCAGCGGUUCUGACGUGCAAAUCGAUCGUCAAAUUUGGGUAUAGGGGCGAAAGACUAAU
rnacentral:rRNA from 1 species